AGUGAACGCUGGCGGUAGGCCUAACACAUGCAAGUCGAACGGCAGCACAGUAAGAGCUUGCUCUUACGGGUGGCGAGUGGCGGACGGGUGAGGAAUACAUCGGAAUCUACUUUUUCGUGGGGGAUAACGUAGGGAAACUUACGCUAAUGCCGCAUACGACCUACGGGUGAAAGCAGGGGAUCUUCGGACCUUGCGCGAUUGAAUGAGCCGAUGUCGGAUUAGCUAGUUGGCGGGGUAAAGGCCCACCAAGGCGACAAUCCGUAGCUGGUCUGAGAGGAUGAUCAGCCACACUGGAACUGAGACACGGUCCAGACUCCUACGGGAGGCAGCAGUGGGGAAUAUUGGACAAUGGGCGCAAGCCUGAUCCAGCCAUACCGCGUGGGUGAAGAAGGCCUUCGGGUUGUAAAGCCCUUUUGUUGGGAAAGAAAAGCAGCAGGUUAAUACCCCGCUGUUCUGACGGUACCCAAAGAAUAAGCACCGGCUAACUUCGUG
rnacentral:rRNA from 1 species